UACGUAGGGUGCGAGCGUUGUCCGGAAUUAUUGGGCGUAAAGAGCUCGUAGGCGGUCUGUCGCGUCGAAUGUGAAAACCCGGGGCUCAACUCCGGGCUUGCAUUCGAUACGGGCAGGCUAGAGUUCGGUAGGGGAGUCUGGAAUUCCUGGUGUAGCGGUGAAAUGCGCAGAUAUCAGGAGGAACACCGGUGGCGAAGGCGGGUCUCUGGGCCGAUACUGACGUGAGGAGCGAAAGCGUGGGGAGCGAACAGGAUUA
rnacentral:rRNA from 1 species